GCCCGCGUAGCCCAAUGGUAGGGCGCAAGACUUCUAAUCUUGAGGCUGCGGGUUCGAGUCCCGCCGUGGGUG